rnacentral:rRNA from 1 species
GACAGAGGGUGCAAACGUUGUUCGGAAUUACUGGGCGUAAAGCGCGUGUAGGCGGCUCUGUAAGUCGGGUGUGAAAUCCCACGGCUCAACCGUGGAAGUGCACUCGAAACUACAGGGCUAGAGUCCUGGAGAGGAAGGUGGAAUGCUUGGUGUAGAGGUGAAAUUCGUAGAUAUCAAGCGGAACACCGGUGGCGAAGGCGGCCUUACUGGACAGUGACUGACGCUGAGACGCGAAAGCGUGGGGAGCAAACGGG